rnacentral:rRNA from 1 species
UACAGAGGGUGCGAGCGUUAAUCGGAAUUACUGGGCGUAAAGCGUGCGCAGGCGGUUCGUUGUGUCGGUGGUGAAAUCCCCGGGCUUAACCUGGGAAUGGCCAUGGAAACUGGCAAGCUAGAGUGUGGCAGAGGGGGGUGGAAUUCCACGUGUAGCAGUGAAAUGCGUAGAGAUGUGGAGGAACACCGAUGGCGAAGGCAGCCCCCUGGGCUAACACUGACGCUCAUGCACGAAAGCGUGGGGAGCAAACAGG